AACUUCAGGAGCUUCAGGAUGAGAUCAGAGAGAGCAAGCUCCAGCUAGACCAGCAGGAAAUGGUGUUUCAAAAACUCCAGAAAGAAAGAGAAAGUGAGGAGCAGAAGUUAGUGGCUAGCAUAGUGUCGCUGGAGCAGCAGCAGGGACAGCUGGAGAGGGAGCUGAUGGACCAGAAAAGCAAGCUGGAGUGGCUGCUCACAGACGUGUCGGCCGCUGAAGGACGCCUCAGGACCCUGCAGAAAGAGGAGCGGUGCACUGAGAGCCUGGAGAAGAUGCUGUCCCAGGCCACAGCUUUCAGAGCGGGAGCAGCAGCUGAUGGAGAAGUCGGGUGACCUGCUGGCCCUGCAGAAAGAGGCCGAUGGCAUGAGGGCAGACUUCAGCCUACUGAGAAACCAGUUCUUAACAGAAAGGAAGAAGGCAGAGAAGCAGGUGGCUGGGCUGAAGGAGGCACUGAAGAUCC
rnacentral:lncRNA from 1 species